rnacentral:rRNA from 1 species
GGAAUAUUGCGCUAAUGCGGGAAACCGUGACGCAGCGACGCCGCGUGGGGGAUGAAGGCCCUCGGGUCGUAAACCCCUUUCGCCAGGGACGAAACUGACGGUACCUGGAGAAGAAGUCCCGGCUAACUACGUGCCAGCAGCCGCGGUAACACGUAGGGGACGAGCGUUGUCCGGAUUUAUUGGGCGUAAAGCGCGCGUAGGCGGUCCGCAAAGUCGGUUGUGAAAACCCGGAGCUCAACUCCGGGCCUGCAUCCGAUACUCGCGGACUGGAGGUAGGUAGGGGGGAUCGGAAUUCCUGGUGUAGCGGUGGAAUGCGCAGAUAUCAGGAGGAACACCGGUGGCGAAGGCGGAUCCCUGGGCCUUACCUGACGCUGAGGCGCGAAAGCUGGGGGAGCGAACAGGAUUAGAUACCCUGGUAGUCCCAGCUGUAAACGUUGGGUGCUAGGUGUGGGCGGAUAUCGACCCCGUCCGUGCCGAAGCUAACGCAUUAAGCACCCCGCCUGGGGAGUACGGCCGCAAGGCUAAAACUCAAAGGAAUUGACGG